ACGAACGCUGGCGGCGUGCCUAAUACAUGCAAGUCGAGCGGAAUGAUGAAGAAGCUUGCUUCUUCUGAUUUUAGCGGCGGACGGGUGAGUAACACGUGGGCAACCUACCUUGUAGAUUGGGAUAACUCCGGGAAACCGGGGCUAAUACCGAAUAAUCCAUUUUGCUUCAUGGCGAGAUGUUGAAAGACGGUUUCGGCUGUCACUACGAGAUGGGCCCGCGGCGCAUUAGCUAGUUGGUAGGGUAAUGGCCUACCAAGGCGACGAUGCGUAGCCGACCUGAGAGGGUGAUCGGCCACACUGGGACUGAGACACGGCCCAGACUCCUACGGGAGGCAGCAGUGGGAAUCUUAGACAAUGGGGCAACCCUGAUCUAGCCAUGCCGCGUGAGUGAAGAAGGUUUUCGGAUCGUAAAACUCUGUUGUUAGGGAAGAACACGUACGAGAGUAACUGCUCGUACCUUGACGGUGCCUAACCAGAAAGCCACGGCUAACUACGUG
rnacentral:rRNA from 1 species